rnacentral:rRNA from 1 species
UUGAACGCUGGCGGCAUGCUUUACACAUGCAAGUCGAACGGCAGCGGGGAGGAGCUUGCUUCUCUGCCGGCGAGUGGCGAACGGGUGAGUAAUACAUCGGAACGUGUCGAGAAGAGGGGGAUAACCACCCGAAAGGGUGGCUAAUACCGCAUAAAUUCUGAGGAAGAAAGCUGGGGACCUGGGAAUAGGCCUAGCGCUUUUUGAGCGGCCGAUGUCGGAUUAGCUAGUUGGUGAGGUAAAGGCUCACCAAGGCGAAGAUCUGUAGCGGGUCUGAGAGGAUGAUCCGCCACACUGGGACUGAGACACGGCCCAGACUCCUACGGGAGGCAGCAGUGGGGAAUUUUGGACAAUGGGGGCAACCCUGAUCCAGCCAUGCCGCGUGUAUGAAGAAGGCCUUAGGGUUGUAAAGUACUUUUGUUAGGGAAGAAAAGUCAGCUGUGAAUAAUGGCUGAUACUGACGGUACCUAAAGAAUAAGCACCGGCUAACUACGUG